rnacentral:misc_RNA from 1 species
AACAGGUUAGCAAGCUGAUAGAAUCAAUUGAAGCUUCUGCACUGAGUGCAAGCUUGCUUACCUUUCAGGACCAAAUAUAUGCACUUGAUAAUGUGUGGGCUUUGUCGGGAAUGGGUCAUGAUUAUGGGCUUGAUGUGAAAGUCAUUAACAAUGCUGCAAUAUUGCACUAUAAUGGAAAAAUGAAACCCUGGCUGGAGCUAGGAAUCCCCAAGUAUAGACGUUAUUGGAGAAGUUUUCUGAACCGAGAUGAUCAUUUCUUGGGGGAGUGCAAUGUAAAUUAAUGACAGUCAGUUGUCGGGUUGCCAUGUUUUCUGGAAAAUAUAGGCUUGAGGAGCAUGUGUAAAUGGUUAUUUUUUUGGUGCUGAGG